rnacentral:misc_RNA from 1 species
GAUGAAGAACGUAGCGAAAUGCGAUACGUAAUGUGAAUUGCAAAUUCAGUGAAUCAUCGAGUCUUUGAACGCACAUUGCGCCCCCUGGUAUUCCGGGGGGCAUGCCUGUCCGAGCGUCAUUGCUGCCCUCAAGCACGGCUUGUGUGUUGGGCCCCGUCCUCCGAUCCCGGGGGACGGGCCCGAAAGGCAGCGGCGGCACCGCGUCCGGUCCUCGAGCGUAUGGGGCUUUAUCACCCGCUCUGUAGGCCCGGCCGGCGCUUGCCGAUCAACCCAAAUUUUUAUCCAGGUUGACCUCGGAUCAGGUAGGGAUACCCGCUGAACUUAAGCAUAUCAAUAAGCGGAGGA